AGGGACAUUCUCUAUGGACCAAGCAUUCAAAUAUAGUUAGUGAGCACCUUGCAGACACACAGGAUGUACUUCUCCAAGAUGGUGCAAUGGAGCAGAAACAGCUCAUGUCCCUAAUAAGAAGCCACGAGGGACCUCAUUGCUUAUUGAAGAGUCUUGCAGCAUACUUUGUUCGUUGGUCUUUUCUUAAUGGUUGGCUAUUUCUCCUCCAAUUCAAGAACAUUGCAACUAUUAGGUACCAUUCAGAGUCAAUGCGGACCUGAACACACAACUGGCCACGGAGGGAGGCCCUUCAUAAACAGAUCUUGCUGAGUUUAAUCAGAAUCUGCCUCAUGCACAUAGACACAGAUCCUCUUAGAGAUGAAAAGAACAUUAAAAUCUAACAGAACAAAGACCGUGACCACCCCAGACACACAUCCCACAACUCCAAGCUAUGUGUGUCCAGAAGAGAAACAAAACAAAAUUUAUGGCUUUUGCUCUAGUAAUUCCUGCCACCCACUGAUCUAAGUCAUUCUUGAACACGAUUAUGAGUGUUUUCAUACAUAUGUGAUGCAUUGAGUAACUGAAUGGAUCCCAUCUGGGAGAUAUAUAAAGUGGACACUGAAGUGACUCAUCAGGCAGCUGCAGAGAAUACACAGAUGAGAAUGGCAGGGAACUCCACCAUGAAGAUGCUGAGCAUCAUCCACACCAUUUCCAGAAGAUGGAAAAAGCCACAUGACUGUGGAACACCACAAAAUUGAGGAAGAGUUUGAAGCUCACGGCUGCCAGAGUGAAACCUUGGGCUCUGGUAUUAGCUGCCUUGUACAUGGCUGAUUGGAACACAAAGGAAAAUAAUCUUGUAAGUUGUU
rnacentral:lncRNA from 1 species